rnacentral:rRNA from 1 species
AGCGAACGCUGGCGGCAGGCUUAACACAUGCAAGUCGAGCGGGGGAGGUUGCUUCGGUAACUGACCUAGCGGCGGACGGGUGAGUAAUGCUUAGGAAUCUGCCUAUUAGUGGGGGACAACAUUCCGAAAGGAAUGCUAAUACCGCAUACGCCCUACGGGGGAAAGCAGGGGAUCUUCGGACCUUGCGCUAAUAGAUGAGCCUAAGUCGGAUUAGCUAGUUGGUGGGGUAAAGGCCUACCAAGGCGACGAUCUGUAGCGGGUCUGAGAGGAUGAUCCGCACCACUGGGACUGAGACACGGCCCAGACUCCUACGGGAGGCAGCAGUGGGGAAUAUUGGACAAUGGGCGGAAGCCUGAUCCAGCCAUGCCGCGUGUGUGAAGAAGGCCUUUUGGUUGUAAAGCACUUUAAGCGAGGAGGAGGCUCUUAAGGUUAAUACCCUUGAUGAGUGGACGUUACUCGCAGAAUAAGCACCGGCUAACUCUGUGCCAGCAGCCGCAGUAACAC